rnacentral:tRNA from 1 species
ACCGAAAUAGCUCAGUUGAGAGGGGGUUAAACCAUAGAUCGAAAGAUCCCUGGUUCAAUCCCGGGACUCGGCA